UACGUAGGGUGCGAGCGUUGCCCGGAUUUAUUGGGCGUAAAGGGCGCGUAGGCGGCUCGGCACGUCCGUUGUGAAAUCGCCCGGCUCAACUGGGCGGGGUCAGCGGAUACGGUCGAGCUUGAGCAAGCUAGGGGGUAAUGGAAUUCCCGGUGUAGUGGUGAAAUGCGUAGAUAUCGGGAGGAACACCAGUGGCGAAGGCGACUACCUGGCCUGUUCUUGACGCUGAGGCGCGAAAGCUAGGGGAGCAAACGGG
rnacentral:rRNA from 1 species